GCAUAGUUGAGGGCUUUUGACAUGAUUGCUCAUUAAAUUGACUUUCUGUGGAUUAUUAUGCAAUAUUCAUAUUUGAUAAUUGAUUUUGAACAUUUUGGGGUGCAUGAGAAUGGUGAAUAAAUUUAGGGAUCAUAUUUAAACCCCAAUUUGAUGAUUUUGCCUUGCUUUAUGGUUUGAAAACAAUAUGCCCUCAACCUAUUUGUAAAAUUGACAAUGAAUAUGAUUUUGUCACAUAGUUGGCUUGUUCAUUUGAACUAAUGCAUUGGUAUAAAAGGUUAUUAAAGCAUGAUUUAAUCUUAUUGAACUUGAGGUAUGUGGAAUUCCCGCACUACAAAAAAUGGGUCUAAUUGCGGGGAGUUUAUUUACUGGGGUUAUUUUAACCUCCAUAAAAUUACAUGAAAUGCGAGCAUUAAAAAUCUAUUGCCAAAAUUUAUAAAUUUAUGGGGUUUUAACCCUCUUUAUCCAUAAAAAAAAAUAGCGGUAAGUAUUGGCAUAAAAAAACACUUUCCCUCUUUUUUUAAUUGGCCAAUAAUUUUCCCCCAAAAUAUUUUUUCUCUGAUUUUCUCCAAAACCCCCAAAUCGAUUGACAACUUUUACCAAAAUCUUAUUCAUUUCAGCGGGAGUGCAUUUGCUAGAAGAUCUCAACCACAAGUUCGUAAGUUAAGCUCCAUUUUGUUUUGAUUUUAGCAUGUUCAUGACCUGUUAUUUUGGAUUCAACUUGUAACACUAACAAUAUAAGCGAUUGAUACUCCAACCGGCCAUUGCUACUCUGGUCGGCCAUUGCUACUCCGGUCGGCCAGCUAAGUCGCACUGCUACCCUCUGGUUUCUCUUUGUUUGUGGUUUAAAGACUUGUCCUUUAUAGUCCUUUAUCACAAAUUGCUUUCCUAGGGCCUUAUUUGCAGAAUAUAUUUUGAUGUAGAGUUUGUGAAUCGAGACUAUGGUGGAGUGUCAAUGGUGUUAUCCAUAAUAUUAAAAAUGAAUGAGUGAAAGAAAUGUGUAUUAAUAGGAGCAAGAUAUGUUGAAUGGAACAAAGAUAGUUGUAAUGAGGGCUAAAGGUACUUCUCCGGUUAGGUGUGUUUGGUAUUAACUAAAGAUUGAUAAUACCCUUAGCAAAUUGGAUUAUAUUUUGAUGAUGUUAUUGAGUAUUAAGAGCUGAUAAUAUAAUCUAAGCACUGGUUGGAGCGAGCGAUAUGGAGUAAGAGUUGAAGUAGUAGUUAAAAGAAAUGACUUGUAUCUCAUAAGUGAGGAGAAGUUUCAUUUCCUCCUUUGUGGAAAACAUUUUUUCUUGGAAAAUAUUUCUAGUAACCAAAGACCAGAAAAUAGCUUCUCAAAUAUGCUUCAUCUUACAAAACACAGCUCAAAAAGACAGCCAGCUAAGGAUCUGGGGCUUAGUCCCGCAGUCCUACUAAGCAGUAGAUCAUUACCAGAUGUUUGAAGUUGGUGAGCCUCCCUUAUUUCAGAAGGCCUUAUUUCAUAUGAUACUUUCAUUGGGGUUUUAGUUUAUGGUCCGACCGAGGGAUUUGUCCCUGUUUCAUACAGAUGUUGUUUUUUGUUUAUUAGAGAUUUUGCAGACUUAUGUUAGAUAGUUUUGGGUCUUUAUGAAUUCAUAACCAUAUCGUUUAGUUGAAAUAAUAAGAUGACCAUGAUUCCAGUUUA